GGCCACAUGAUUGAAUUAUAAUCGACAAAAGCAGAGUUCAGCAUUUACAAGUCAACCUGUAAUCAACGCAUGCAGCCCACCAACUCAGGUAACGACAUCAGUUUCUCAGGUUCUCUGUAUGUAUCCCAGUACAUCAAGUAUAAGGAGAACAGCAAGCUCUAUGAAUACGAGUCCAUUUGACCUCGCAAAACACCCCCCACCCCCCUAAAGCAUUGCACGCGCCCUACCACCACGACGGCAUUCGCCACUGGAUUCCGCAGUCUAAAAUGGGCACCAGCGGUUGGACCAGACCGACAACACAUCAAGAUCCACCCUUCCUAGUUCCUCCUUCGCUUGUCCCUGGGAGAAACCAUGGCGGUCGACUCUGUCACAUCCUGCAGAUCAAGCAUCGAGUGUGAUCUCAUAUGAGCUGAUAACACCUGCGGUGGACGAGGUGCAGGUGGAGAAGCAAAGACACCCAUGGCGGCAUUGCUGGGCCUUCGGAGUGGCUGACGGGUAUGCAGCUUCGGAGAGCGGUAGUGUUCAUCAUCACUGCCGCUGUUGCUCCCCGAACUGCUUGUUGCAGCUGGUGACAAUGUCAUUCUCCUGCAAUUUGUAGGGCUGAUGAUCACAUCAUCUUCAGGGAAUACCUCUUUGUUCUGUGGCUUGCCCCACUUGAAACUGAACGGAAGAAGACCUUUCCGCUUCCUAGGGGAUGGGUUUUCUGGCUUUGGAAGACUUUUCUCAGGUGGAGAUGGGAUCACGGAAUCUUGAAGCUUUGCAAAAGAUCCAGACUUGCCAUUGUAGAACUUGCAUACCCCUUUCCUGAAGGGGAGGGCCUCCUGGAGCGCGUCCAUGGUGUCGAAGGGCCCCUUGUACGAGCUCUGCACCUCGCCGUCGCCGCCCUCCACCUCCUCGCCGUCCCACUCCCACUUGGCCGCCGCCGCGGGGCUGUCGCUGUCCCUCCCCACCGACGACGAGCUGCGCGCCCCCACCGACGCCGGCGGCGGCGAGGCGGCGUAGGCGCAGCGGGCGACGCGGCCGAACCGGGGCCCGCCGCCGCCCCCUCCUCCUCCUCCUAGCCCGGGCCCACUCUCCAGUGCGAUCGACAUGGCCCCCCUCACCUCACCUCCUCUCUCUCCUCACAUGCAAAGGAGGCCGCCUCCGCCUCCUCCUCUUGCUGCUUGCUGCUUCUUUCGCUUUCGCUCGCUUGCUCGCCUUCACACGCGCACGC
rnacentral:sRNA from 1 species